AGUGCGCUACAGACUCCUGCAUCCAGUGCGUUACAGACUCCUGCGUUCAGUGCGUACUGUAGGUCAUCAGUGUUAAACACUCAGACAACCUCUUUAAUCCCAAGCCAUUCAUAUCAGCUCUUGCCACUAUGUGCCAUGUGCCAACCUUCA